CCUACGGGGGACAGCAGUAGGGAAUUUUGCGCAAUGGGGGAAACCCUGACGCAGCAACGCCGCGUGAUUGAUGAAGCCCUUCGGGGUGUAAAGAUCUGUCAGUGGGGACGAAACUUGACGGUACCCACAGAGGAAGCAUCGGCUAACUACGUGCCAGCAGCCGCGGUAAUACGUAGGGGGCAAGCGUUAUCCGGAUUUACUGGGUGUAAAGGGAGCGUAGACGGCAGCACAAGUCUGGAGUGAAAUCCCGGGGCUUAACCCCGGAACUGCUUUGGAAACUGUGCGGCUGGAGUGCAGGAGGGGUAAGCGGAAUUCCUAGUGUAGCGGUGAAAUGCGUAGAUAUUAGGAGGAACACCGGUGGCGAAGGCGGCUUACUGGACUGUAACUGACGUUGAGGCUCGAAAGCGUGGGGAGCAAACAGGAUUAGAUACCCCAGUAGUC
rnacentral:rRNA from 1 species